GAUGAACGCUAGCGACAGGCCUAACACAUGCAAGUCGAGGGGCUGCGGGGGUGAUGGCUUGCCAUCACCUGCCGGCGACCGGCGCACGGGUGAGUAACACGUAUGCAACCUGCCCGCCACAGGGGGAUAAGCGGAAGAAAUUCCGUCUAAUACCGCGUGACGCGGCGUCGGGGCAUCCCGGUGCCGCCAAAGGGAUUACCGGUGGCGGAUGGGCAUGCGGCGCAUUAGCUAGUCGGCGGGGUAACGGCCCACCGAGGCGACGAUGCGUAGGGGUUCUGAGAGGAAGGUCCCCCACACUGGUACUGAGACACGGACCAGACUCCUACGGGAGGCAGCAGUGAGGAAUAUUGGUCAAUGGGCGCGAGCCUGAACCAGCCAAGUCGCGUGAGGGAUGACGGUCCUACGGAUUGUAAACCUCUUUUGCCGGGGAGCAAGCGCGCGUUCGUGAACGCGCGUCGAGAGUACCCGGAGAAAAAGCAUCGGCUAACUCCGUGCCAGCAGCCGCGGUAAUACGGAGGAUGCGAGCGUUAUCCGGAUUUAUUGGGUUUAAAGGGUGCGUAGGCGGGAUGCCAAGUCAGCGGUAAAAAUGCGGUGCUCAACGCCGUCGAGCCGUUGAAACUGGCGUUCUUGAGUGGGCGAGAAGUAUGCGGAAUGCGUGGUGUAGCGGUGAAAUGCAUAGAUAUCACGCAGAACUCCGAUUGCGAAGGCAGCAUACCGGCGCCCUACUGACGCUGAGGCACGAAAGCGUGGGUAUCGAACAGGAUUAGAUACCCUGGUAGUCCACGCAGUAAACGAUGAAUGCUAACUGUCCGGCGCGAAUGAGCGCUGGGCGGUACAGCGAAAGCGUUAAGCAUUCCACCUGGGGAGUACGCCGGCAACGGUGAAACUCAAAGGAAUUGACGGGGGCCCGCACAAGCGGAGGAACAUGUGGUUUAAUUCGAUGAUACGCGAGGAACCUUACCCGGGCUCAAACGCAGGAUGACGGGUCCCGAAAGGGGCCUUUCUUCGGACAUUCUGCGAGGUGCUGCAUGGUUGUCGUCAGCUCGUGCCGUGAGGUGUCGGCUUAAGUGCCAUAACGAGCGCAACCCCUGUUCACAGUUGCCAGCAGGUAAAGCUGGGGACUCUGUGGAGACUGCCGGCGCAAGCUGCGAGGAAGGCGGGGAUGACGUCAAAUCAGCACGGCCCUUACGUCCGGGGCGACACACGUGUUACAAUGGCAGGUACAGCGGGAUGCCACGGGGCGACCCGGCGCUGAACCCGAAAACCUGUCUCAGUUCGGAUUGGAGUCUGCAACCCGACUCCAUGAAGCUGGAUUCGCUAGUAAUCGCGCAUCAGCCACGGCGCGGUGAAUACGUUCCCGGGCCUUGUACACACCGCCCGUCAAGCCAUGGAAGCCGGGGGUACCUGAAGUGCGUGACCGCGAGGAGCGCCCUAGGGUAAAACCGGUGACUGGGGCU
rnacentral:rRNA from 1 species